rnacentral:lncRNA from 1 species
UGUGUGAGAAGGGCGGCCAUCUUCUCCAUUUGCCAGCAGUCUCAGGCCGCAGUCCUGAGUGUCUGUCCUGUUUGUUUUUGUAUAAACCUGCCCAGCACCUUGAGAUCUCUGAGGCCAACUAGUGCUUUGAGAUCAUUAGGAGCAUGGUCACAGAAUCACAGAAUAUCCCAAGUUGGAAAGGACCCAUGAAGACCAUUGAGUCCAACUCCUGACUCCACACAGGACUACCUAAAAAUUAAAUCACAUGUCUAAGCUCAUUGCCCAAAUGCUUCUUGAACUUUGGCAGAUCUCUCUGCAAGGCCUUUCCACCUUCUAGGGAGUCAACAGCUGCUCCUAAUGUAGUAUCAUCUGCAAACUUAGUGGUCAAGACCAGGUGACGGCCUUGCUCUGCAGCAGCCAAAAACUGUCUACAUGGCCAGGCCAGUCUGGAACAAAUGGAGGUGGCCGGCCAGCCCGAGCUUCCUGCAGGUGGCCUACGCAGAUAUGAGGAACUGCUGUGCAUCGCUUCUUCAGGCCAGUAAAAAGGAUUUUUUUUUUUCUUCAUAAUGGUUGAUGGACUGACCAAACUCAGAUUUGCUAGAAAAAAACUUUUUUUUCCUCUUGCUUUGGAUCCUAGAUUUAUUCCUACAGUGCUUUAGAAUUGUAUUAUAUAGAGGAAAAUCAAUGGAAAUACUUGAGCAACAGGUUUGUUAUAAAGAAAUAGGGUACUCUAUUUCUUUCCCAGUCUUGCUGUGGAAUGAAUGUCAUAUUUCCUGAAAACUAAAUAUAGUGAUGUGCACUGAAUACCAAUGAAUGUGCAGAUUUCUGAGUGAAAUUGUUACAAACAGAUCUUUGGGAAUCAUGCACGGCUUCAAUGAGGAUCUUAAAUUGUCAAACACAUCUGAAAUAUUGCAGAAAAUUUAAAGAAAGUGGUCAGAAAUGUUAUGUGUGUUUUGUAUUUCUGUGAACAUUUUGAAGGGUGAGGAGUCAGCAGUGUUUAAAUAGCAAGUGUCCUGCUUGGGAUAGUGCGGAAUGUCUGCUCAAGCCAGAAUUAUGGCUUAGAAAACUCCUGUCUUUCCUGAAAAUGCUCUUAUCAGGACCUUGCUUUGAUCUCCGUGCUUCAUGGCUUUGCAGGGAUGACUGAGAUAUUAUUAGCUGUUGAGAUAAGAAGCCCAGUUUCUUUCUACAACACUAUUGUUCUUCAUCUCUGCUAUCUUAAAGAGCACCGUUCAGCUAAAUAUAGCAGCAGUGGUGCCUAACCUCAGGGGUUUAACCAGAGCGUGUGUGAAUGUUAGAAAGGAGCAAUCCUACUCUGAGUUUUGCUAGCAAAUGUGCCUGGAGGAGGUGUUGGAGAUGGUGGGGGUAAGGCUGGGGAAGUACCUAGCUCAGGAUACAUUAGAAAGAGAUGUGGUUUAAGUUGUCCAUCCUCUGACAGGGAGUGGGAGUCUCUGACAAGCCACUGGGAGAGGGAACUUCUGUGUGAAUUUGUAAGGGGACAGGGUCUGCUCUGUUAUUUCAGCAGGUAGGUGAAGCCGAACUCAAGCUUAGAGUGAGGCCAGCAGCCUGG